CUGAGGACCUGCUCAAAUGAAUGCUGGGAAGACGUGGCAGCCAUGAUGCGGGAAGGAGACAAAGGCUGUAGACACUUUCAACUGGGACUAUAGGCUUAGUUCACCCAGGACUGACUGCUACUGCACUUCAAUUCUUCUAUUAGAGGAUGUCUCCUACUUUCUCUAUACCCCAGACAACAAGACAGAGCAACAAGGGAUAAUCCACCAUGACUAUUUUGAGAAUACAACAGCAAGAGCGACAAAGUACCAUAAGGACAAAGCCCAAG